rnacentral:lncRNA from 1 species
AUCCACGAAAUGGGCAUCUCAUGAUCCUGCCUCACUCGCAGUGUGGUUGUGAUGAUCAAAUGAAAUGAGGUCUAGGACAGCAUGUUGUAGUAGGUUAAGCUGUAUGCAUAUGUGCCUUAGAGCAUUGACUGUUGGGGUUUUCAGCCUCCUCUUCCUCAAAGGCCUUUAGCUUCCUAUAGGAUGACCCUGCAUCCUCUCAUUCUUUGUUAACACUCUGCUGGUUUUCAGCUAGGAGAUUUUGUCAGGAAGAAGCUGAUAAGCCGUGGGAGCUGCUCUCUGUCAUGAAGAAGCCAGGACUGGCUUCCUCAGGAAGGAAGUGUGCGGCGGCUCCUGUGUGCAGAUACCUGCUGCCAAAUCUGCAAUGCCAUGGCUCUGGAGAUUCAGCAGUUGCUGGUAGGUGAGAACACCCUGAUAUCUUCCCCUUCAUCAGGACCAUUGCAGGGCUCCUCUUGCUUA